rnacentral:tRNA from 1 species
CAGGGAGACAUCACUGAUUUUGAUGCUGAAUUAUUUAUUUUCAGGCCAUAAUCCUGUCACAUAGGUCGAUCGGUACCUCAAUUUGAAUUUCAAAAACAAAGAAAUUUGUUUUUGAAUAUUAGAAUUCAGUUCCUAAACUUUGUCUAGGUCACACCCAACAAGGGUACUCCUGGGCCAUUAGCUCAGGUGGUUAGAGCGCACCCCUGAUAAGGGUGAGGUCCCUGGUUCAAGUCCAGGAUGGCCCAUUCUGUUGGGGGUAUAGCUCAGUUGGUAGAGCGCCUGCUUUGCAAGCAGGAUGUCAGCGGUUCGAGUCCGCUUACCUCCACUGACUCCAACUCCUGAUAACGAAGCCCAAGGAGAUUCUGUUAAAUGUGAUCUAGAAUUUGUUCUUUAUGAGCGAACCUAGCUUCUUGUCAUACCGGCUCAAUAUUUUUUGGAUGGCUGAUAAGACGCUGGGCUCCCUGCAAUACAAAUUGCAGAGAACUUCAGUAGAACCUUGACAACUGCAUAGGUAAGUCUGGAAAGAAUAAAGCAUCUCAUGGAUGCAUGAUUCUUGGGAAUCAGCUGAUGCAAUCUGCGCGAGCAGAGAGCUGAGGUUGAUCAACGAGAAUGAUGUUUGAUUCUUGAGUCAAGAGCCGAGACUCUAUAGCGUUCUUUCGAUGUCAUCGAGGCAUCGAGAGUUUGAUUGGUGAUUCAAACCAUCUUCAAUGACAAACAAUUCAGUUUAACUGGAGAAGUUUGAGAUUGAAGCCAGGUGAAUUGCUAAGAAUACGUAUUCAACUACGUGAAGCGUUAUAGAGAUUAAUU